rnacentral:rRNA from 1 species
AUUGAACGCUGGCGGCAUGCUUUACACAUGCAAGUCGAACGGUAACAGGCCUUAGGGUGCUGACGAGUGGCGAACGGGUGAGUAAUGCAUCGGAACGUGCCCAGAGGUGGGGGAUAACGCAGCGAAAGCUGUGCUAAUACCGCAUGUGAUCUGAGGAUGAAAGCGGGGGACCAGGCAGCAAUGUUUGGCCUCGCGCCUUUGGAGCGGCCGAUGUCAGAUUAGGUAGUUGGUGGGGUAAAGGCCUACCAAGCCGACGAUCUGUAGCUGGUCUGAGAGGACGACCAGCCACACUGGGACUGAGACACGGCCCAGACUCCUACGGGAGGCAGCAGUGGGGAAUUUUGGACAAAGGGCGCAAGCCUGAUCCAGCAAUGCCGCGUGCGGGAAGAAGGCCUUCGGGUUGUAAACCGCUUUUGUACGGAACGAAAAGGCUCUGGCUAAUACCUGGGGCUGAUGACGGUACCGUAAGAAUAAGCACCGGCUAACUACGUG